GUUACUAUUCAGUGUCAAUUUUUAAUUUCAUUGUUUCGUCAAUCAAUUUGAUAAUACUGAAAGUGUUUUUUUUUAUUUUACUUUGUGGAGGUGAAGGUUCAAUGAGACAUGUAAGAUAGUUUGACUGCUGAAAUAAUUGAAAGAAUGCCAAAUCAAUUAAGGUUUAGACAGUGCCUCGGUUUUUUUGUGGUCAUCCGAGUGUGGACAGUACAAGUAGACAGUACAAGUAGACAGUACAACCGAUACCAAUCAAUCGAGAACAUUAGUUCUAGUAGGCCUCACCUCUUACCUGCUACGUCGCAACCUGUGGGUAGUGGAGACCAAUAAAUAGCUCGUCGCUACGUUGUGCUAUGAGGUAACUGCGAUAUGGAGUUACGGGCUAAAGUCAUAUAAUCGUUACUUUCUCUAGAUACCUCAAGUACAUAUCACGCAGCGCUGCACAUAAAAUGAAUCCCUAUGUCAUGUAGGCAUUUCUUGUUAGCUUCAGUGAAAUUAUUAAGCAAAUAUUGUUACUUUGCAAAUUAAAAAAAAUAGCAACACACAUUUAAAAAAAUACGAGUGAAUGUGAUUAUGGGAGAAUGUGACUAUGGGAAAAUGUGACUAUGGGAGAAUGUGAC